AUUUUCAUUUUCCCUCUAUCUCGUUUACUCUCCCUCUCAUUCCAUUGUUUCACUUCCUCUUCUCCACCAAACAAAACCCUAGUUACGCCGUCUUCACUAAUCACAGAAAAAAACCAUGUCGUUGCUCUCUCUCUUUUACUCUCUGUUUCGAAAUCGAACCCUAGCGCCACCGUCGAAGCAAGCGACACAUGGACUCACUCGUCUUAGCUUAAAAGGACACUGUAGACGCCAGCACCCCUCAUGUUCCUCUGAUUCUUCCUCUUCUUACUUUGAUUCGUCCAGAUUUGUAUGUAUCCAAGCUAUGGAGGAAGACGCAGUCUGAUGUCAUGAGAUUCUACAGAGGGUGAGGUGCAGACCUCUCGAAGAUGACAUGAUUAAAAUAAAAGAGGGAUGGUCCCGAGAAAGUCACACCAAUGCUAACGUAUUCUUGGAUGGUUCUAUAUACCAAGUUCCACAGCUUUGGACUGUUUUUACAGCUACAGUUGAGAAGGAGAUACAUGAAGAAAACAGGACCGUGUGAGACGUGGUGGACGCAAGAGGCGCCUAAGGACAUUUCUCUUGGAAAAAGAGGAAGCUAAUAAUGUUGAUGAUACAUUGAUAUUGCAGAAGAAGUUUCAAAGAUUGGAGAGCAAAUUCAGAAAUUAAAAUCAUUGCUGAUGCUUUGUGUAGUAUAAUAGCUUGGCCAAAUGGCAAACUCGUUUAUAUUUGAACUUGUGUUUGUGUUCAGUACGUAUGACUGUACUUUGUUAUUGGAUUGAAACAUGUAUUUUGGUUAUUAUGAAACAUCUUCAGGUUUAUGAAU